rnacentral:rRNA from 1 species
AGAGUUUGAUCAUGGCUCAGAGUGAACGCUGGCGGUAGGCCUAACACAUGCAAGUCGAACGGCAGCACAGGAGAGCUUGCUCUCUGGGUGGCGAGUGGCGGACGGGUGAGGAAUACAUCGGAAUCUACUUUUUCGUGGGGGAUAACGUAGGGAAACUUACGCUAAUACCGCAUACGACCUACGGGUGAAAGCAGGGGAUCUUCGGACCUUGCGCGAUUGAAUGAGCCGAUGUCGGAUUAGCUAGUUGGCGGGGUAAAGGCCCACCAAGGCGACGAUCCGUAGCUGGUCUGAGAGGAUGAUCAGCCACACUGGAACUGAGACACGGUCCAGACUCCUACGGGAGGCAGCAGUGGGGAAUAUUGGACAAUGGGCGCAAGCCUGAUCCAGCCAUACCGCGUGGGUGAAGAAGGCCUUCGGGUUGUAAAGCCCUUUUGUUGGGAAAGAAAUCCAGCUGGCUAAUACCCGGUUGGGAUGACGGUACCCAAAGAAUAAGCACCGGCUAACUUCGUGCCAGCAGCCGCGGUAAUACGAAGGGUGCAAGCGUUACUCGGAAUUAUUGGGCGUAAAGGGCGUGUAGGUGGCAUUUCAAGUCUGGUGUGAAAGCCCACGGCUCAACCGUGGAACUGCAUUGGAAACUGAAAAGCUCGAG